rnacentral:tRNA from 1 species
UAAUAGAGGUUUAAGCCCUCUUAUUUCUAGAACUGCAGGAGUUGAACCUACCCCUAAGAAUUCAAAAUUCUUCGUGCUACCACACUACACCAUGUUCUAUAGUAAGGUCAGCUAAAUAAGCUAUCGGGCCCAUACCCCGAAAAUGUUGGUUUAUACCCUUCCCGUACUA